AGGUGUGACUGUGAGGUGUGACCAUGAGGCAUGGACUGUGAGAUGGGACUGUGAGGUAUGUGACCAUGGGGUGUGGGCUGUGAGGUAUCAACCCUGACUGUGAGGUGUGACUGUGAGGUGUGGACUGUGAGGUGUGACUGUGAGGUGUGGACCGUGAGGUGUGACUGUGAGGUGUGACUGUGAGGUGUGGACCGUGAGGUGUGACUGUGAGGUGUGACUGUGAGGUGUGGACCGUGAGGUGUGAC
rnacentral:lncRNA from 1 species